GAAUUCUACUCGAACACCGCAUCGAAAUCAGACUUUGAAAAUGGCGUCAAAAAUCCUGAUUGCUCUCUACUUUCUGAUUGCCUUGGCCCUGGCAGCAAGUGUUUUAGUCGAGGAAGAUGCGAUCGACAAUUCUGAUGCCUUGAAUGUCGGGGAAAACGUACGCAACCCAAUAGUUGAAUGUGUUCGCAACGGAAUUAAUUGCCUCUGCCAGGGACCGAACUUAGUAUCUUGUGAUGAAGAUUCAGGCUAGAAUGGAAAAGUUCGGGAAGCAGACUAGCUGGAUCUUCUCCAUGUGGUCAGACGACUUCUCUGUUUGUUGAGACUUUUGUCAAAUUAAUGCGAAACACAAAUCAUUGGUGAUCAUGGACUUUCUUUGUGUUAGUGAUACGCUAUACAAGUAUCGUUCAUUAUUAUUAAUAUUAUUAUCAGUCAUGAUUGACCUUAAC